UCAUGCCCUAGCUAGACCUACACCAAAGGAUGACACUUUCAGUGACCAAAAGAACUUCCUGACCUAUGGAGGCGUCGGUGGUUACUCUGGCAUCGGCAACAAUGGCCUCCCGUUUGGUGGUCUAGGGGGUGCCAUUGGGGGAGGAGGCCUUGGUGGCGGUCUUGGUGGUGGUCUUGGUGGUGGCCUCGGUGGCGGUACGGGAAUUGGUGGAGGACUAGGUGGACUGGGAGGUCCUGGAGGUGGAUUCGGUGGCAUUGGUGGAACCACUGGCGGUCUUGGCGGUGGUCUCGGGGGUGGAC
rnacentral:lncRNA from 1 species